ACAGGUCGGUGCCGAGCCGCGUGAAGCCGGAGUUGAGCGAGGCCCGGGCUAUCCGGCGCCAGAGCAGAUCGCAGCUGGUGAAGCGCCGCAGCCAGCGGCACACCUGGGCCAGGCGGCCGAGGGCCCGCAUGUCCAGGUAGGAGCAGAUGAGCAGCAGCAGCUCCUCCGGCAGGCGCCAGAGCGCAGGCCCCGCGGCCGGGCGGGCAGCCGACUCCCGAGCCGCCUCCUCCUCCUCCUCCUCCUCCCCGGCCGCCGCCGCCAUGGCCACCCCUGUCCCCGCGAUGUCGGCCCAACCCUGACCCUCCAUUCCUCCUUCUUCCCAUACUCUCUUCCUUGUGCCUCCUUCCCGGCCCCUGCGCUCCCCUCGACUCCCUUGACGAUGCCUCUCGCCCCUUCCUCCACGCUUCUGCCUCCCUCUGCUUCCUCCCUUGGGCAUGCCCUCGCUCCCGCGUCAGCCCCCGGCCCGGCUGCCUCCUUCGCCGUCUGCGGCCCGGGCUUCCCUUCCGCCCCGCUUCCUCUUCCGCCUUGCCCCGCUCUCGCUUUUCCCUUCCCCUUCCCCUUCCUUCGCUUCCCCCUCGCCACCCUCCCUUCCUGCAGCUUCCUCGCCUCUCCGCCCUCGCCCUCGCCGGGCCCGCCGUUCCCGGGGGGCCCCGAGCGGCCCUGGCUGCCCAUGAGCGGCCGCGGGGCCGGCCCGAC
rnacentral:lncRNA from 1 species